AAAUUUAGGAUAAAUUAAACCGAGGACCUUCAAAGUCCUAGACAGAGGAGAUAACCCUCUAAUUCUG
rnacentral:tRNA from 1 species